GUGAUUGAAUUUGUGAAGGGCAUUGUUUUAGUGCCUAUUGGUCUAACUUAUUGAUGAUGACUAGAAUAGCUAUCAUUAGAAGACAACAAGUUGAACAACAGUUGCACAAAACCCUUUUGUUGUCCAAAUAGCCAUUUCCCAACCAACUAUUGCAUGUGCAGUUGAAAUCUGCUAUUUGGAACAGUAGGCCUAUGUGUAACACACACACACACACACACACACACACACACACACACACACACACACACACACACACACACACACACACACACACACACACACACACACACACACACAGACAGACUCUUUUUGUUUCUCCAGAGAACAGAAUCCAAGCUGCUCAUCCACGUCUACCCCAUUCAAACAAACUAUUGUUAUCCACAUAGCCAUUGCAUAACAGUUGGCAGUGGGUUUCAUUGUAUUGACCAUGUCUGGUGGAGAGGGCACCGGCCUGUAUCGUACACUUUGGACUCACUCGUCACUGAAAUCCAACUGACAUUCUCUCAGUCAGUCUGUCCCAAGUUACUUCUGGGGCCUGUUCAGGGGAGGUAAAAAAAUAGAUAUAAAUGCUUUUUUUAGAACAGAUAUGAGGAAAGUUUUGCUUCGAGUAGAAUUUAUUUUCUACUCCUCAGUCUCUCUUGGUAGCUAGUGUCUAGCUAUUGAGACUUGGUUAUCCCACGCCGCAAGGCUUUAGCAAACUUGGCUAGCUAGCUGGAAGGAUAGCUAACCACAGUACAAAGGGCUAGCUCUCACCGUAAGGCUUAGCUAACCCGGGUAACUCACCACCAGGCUAGCUAUACCAAACUAGCUUUUCUUACCUGGAAGGGUAGAAUUGCUAGGUCAACUCUUGCGUUUAGCUCAACCCUAUCGACUGGCCUGCACCCGUGGGACUGGUUCUACGGGAGGAGACUCCCCUCUCGCACACCCCUGGGGAAGCACUCCUCUCAGUGGUCCGAGCUAGCGUGGCGUUAGUCAAAGGCAACUGGGGAAAGCCCUUGUCCAGCAAGAUCCAAACCAGGCACUUUGUUGGCAUGGACAUUUAGGGUAUGGAGGAGAUAGGCCUUGACAAGCCGCUGGUGGUCAAGCCGACAUUGACUGGCCACCUCUACCCCACUGCCUCAUCUAUAACCAGCACUACUCUGCCUGGGGCCACUUGUUGGGGCUAACACAAGGGACAGCACAGCAUCAGUCAGCCAAAGCCAUGAAGCCCACAGCAGACCAUUGACUAGGAUGUGCCAGUAAACCACUGAUUUGGGCUUGAGUGGAACUUUGAGGAUUUUUAUCCACAGAAGUUGGAUUUUAGGGUGAACCAGGAAGUUGAACAUGGAGACAGAGCUGAGAACAGGUCUCUCUGCAUGGGCCAUAAUGGCCAUAGUGUGUAACUCUGUAGUGGGCGUCCUCACCCUCAUCCUCUUUGUCAUCCUCUACAAGGCCUGCAAGGUGCCUUCCUGCCAAGAGAGGGCGCCAGUGCUGACAGUAGUCCAGGAGCAGCAGAAGGGCGAGCAGAAAUACUUACUCACUGUAGCCUGAUGAUGAACGUAAAGAGGAAAAAAACUAUCUUGCCAAACAGACUGCACACACACAUGCACAUGCACACACACACCUCUCUCUCUCUCUCUCUGUCUGUAUUUGAGUCCAUUUCUCUCUCUCUUUGCCUCUCCCUGACACUCAGUUGAUCUCGGAGCAAAAGAACAUGACAAGUGUUACGCAUUACGUAAAAAAACACAUAAAUCCUCUUAUCUCCUUGGCUCUGCUCUGGGACAGUCCAUCUGUCAGUUUGUUUAAACUCAGCAGUCUGGCCUUACCCUGCUCAUCUCCACUGAACCAGUCUGGUGAUUGAGGGAAAGGAUAAAUGAAAAAGCGAAUGAGAAGAGAGAUGGAGGGACAGAGGGAAAGCGAACAGCUCUCCUCUCAUCAGCAACAGAUUGAUGUUUACUAACUGGAGAAAUAAGGAUGCCAAGUAUAGUGAAAUGGACCACAAGAGAGAUAGAUAGAGAGAUAGAUGCGAAAACAAAGGACGGCCGUGAUGAUGGACGAGAGAGAAAGAAAGGGAUGUUUUGACGUGUUGUUUACUAAGAGAACGUUCAAGGAUCUCAAUUGUUUUUGUUAUUUUUCUUAAACUAAGGGAAAUUAACUCAACAUUUCAACUAAAAGCUGUGCUGUAACACUUAAAUGUGUCCAUCUGCCACUUACUGGGUUCAUAACCUUCUAAAGGAGUGACACCCAAAAAUACAGUAUAAUGAGAAUUUUUAGAAAGACUCCCUACUUGAAACGGAAGGAUCUACCAUGUACUGUACUAUGCGAAAAGCAUUCCACAUGUGUAAUUAUGAUGGUGAUGUUGUUCUAUGAAUCGUGAACAUAAUGUUGGAUUUAAUAUUUUAUUAACACAAUAAAUGUUUUACUUUGUGUAA